GGCUGGCUGCUGAGGAGAGGGUUGUCAGACUUAAGCUCCAAAUCAAAAAAGCAAUGGAAGAACAGCAAAACCUGUAUCAUUCUGAAAGUCCAGUUUAUAACAAUGUUGAUUGGCCAGUGCCACUUCAGCUGUCUGAAAAAGAGAGUGAUAUAUGCUUCUGAGAAAGGAAUUUGCUAACAGCUAAGAGGCAAGGUUAUGAUUUCAUUUCUGGCUUCCACCUUCAUUCACAAGUUAAUGCACCAUGAAACCAGUGAUAUACCUGAGAUACAUUGAUGAUACUUUCAUCCUCUGGACAGACGACCUAAACUCCCUCGCAGCUUUCCACCACAACUUCAACAACCACCACACUCUCUCUAGAACAUUCUCACACCAGCAUCAACCUCCUGGACACCACAAUCAGCUUCAACAAUGGAACUCUACAGACAACUAUAUACAAGAAAUCCAUGGAUCACCACAGUUACUUUCGUAGAUCCAGUAACCACCCCAAACGCACCAUGAAAUCUGUUGGCAGGUGUUAUUUGUCAUGUUGUUGGGAUGGAGGGGAAAGGAAGUUCACUAUGGAGGCUUCCGUUGCAACUCCAUAGUUAUAGUUUAGAUAUUUCAAGUUUCAAGACAACUUUACACAUUUAGAAAUGUCUUGCCACUUGCUUUAUGGUAACAGUGUGUGAAACAAAACAAAUGAGCGAUACUUGUUACUGAAAAAAAUGAAAAAUGCUAAAAUGG